GAUGAACGCUGGCGGCGUGCUUAACACAUGCAAGUCGAACGAAGCACUUUAUUUGAUUUCCUUCGGGACUGAUUAUUUUGUGACUGAGUGGCGGACGGGUGAGUAACGCGUGGGUAACCUGCCUUGUACAGGGGGAUAACAGUUGGAAACGGCUGCUAAUACCGCAUAAGCGCACAGCAUCGCAUGAUGCAGUGUGAAAAACUCCGGUGGUAUAAGAUGGACCCGCGUUGGAUUAGCUAGUCGGUGAGGUAACGGCCCACCAAGGCGACGAUCCGUAGCCGGACGCAUAGGAGGAUCAGCCACAAUGAAAGUGAGAGAAGGGCGAGACGCGUACGAGAGGCAGCAGGGGGGAAUAUUGGAGAAUGGGCGAAAGGCGGAUAAAGAAAAGCUGCGUGAGUGAAGAAGGUUCUCGGAGUGUAAAGCAAUUUAAGUGGGGAGGAAGAGCAGUAAGCGAAUAACUUGCGGUGUGGAGGUUACCAAAAGAAUAAGCACGGGCUAAGUUCGUG
rnacentral:rRNA from 1 species